AGGAAAGUAGCGAACGGGUGAGUAACACGUGAGAAACCUGCCUUUCACAAAGGGAUAGCCUCGGGAAACCGGGAUUAAUACCUUAUGAUACAUUAAUAUCGCAUGAUGUGAAUGUUAAAGAAUUUCGGUGAAAGAUGGUCUCGCGUCUGAUUAGCUAGUUGGUAAGGUAGUGGCUUACCAAGGCGACGAUCAGUAGCCGGAUUGAGAGGUUGAACGGCCACACUGGAACUGAGACACGGUCCAGACUCCUACGGGAGGCAGCAGUGGGGAAUUUUGCACAAUGGGGGAAACCCUGAUGCAGCGACGCCGCGUGAACGAUGAAGGUCUUCGGAUUGUAAAGUUCUGUCCUUAGCGAAGAUAAUGACAGUAGCUAAGAAGCAAGCCCUGGCUAAAUACGUGCCAGCAGCCGCGGUAAUACGUAUGGGGCAAGCGUUGUCCGGAAUUAUUGGGCGUAAAGGGUAUGUAGGCGGUUAAUUAAGUCUGAAUUCAAAGGCUGUGGCUCAACCACAGUUCGAUUUAGAAACUGGUUAACUUGAGUAGAUGAGGGGAAAGUGGAAUUCCAUGUGUAGCGGUGAAAUGCGUAGAUAUAUGGAGGAACACCAGUGGCG
rnacentral:rRNA from 1 species